AGUUGUUUAAACUACGCACGGUCAAGUAAACUGUCACAAAAUUUAUACAGAUGUAAUUUCCAAUUUUGAAACUGCAACCAAUCAAAGAUGAACGCAAGCCUCAGGACCUCUGAACACCAAAAUACCAGAGGUGUGACCACGUCGCUGCUUUGCAAGUCACAAAUAAGUCACAAGUCUUUCCAGUCAAGUCUCGAGUCAAGUCCAAGUCAAAGACAGCCAAGUCCAAGUCGAGUCCAAAGUCAAUGAUGUAAGUGCAACUGAAAGUGAUUAUAAACAAAGUGCUGCUGCGUUUAGCAGAACAAGAUCAAACCCAGAACGAAGAAUGAGUUAUGGUGUUUGUCCAUGUCGUGCCACUUUUGUGCUAAAAUAUCAAAUAUGCUCAAGUCAUCAUCAAGUCAACAGAUGCAAAUCGAUUCAAGUCGCAAGUCUUUAUAGAUUUUAUCAAGUCAAGUCAGAAGUCAUUAAAAUAAUGACUCGAGUCUGACUCCAGUCCAAGUCAUGUGAUUCGAGUCCACACCUCUGCCAAAUACUCACUAUAAUCCUACAAAUCUGUACUAGUCUCAUUUUCUUUCUUAUGUUUAUUAUUCAUAAUCUUGAUGCAUCCUAUUUUUCCACUUGCUUCACUUGUAUGUUUACAACAUUCCACCGAAGCAAAGUCCUAGUAAUGCAGACUCUCACGUACUUGGCAAUAAAACGCGAUUCUGAUUAUGCAAAUCUUAUCCUCCUCUCCUUGAUGACAUCAAGCUAGCGUAAUGGGUAGUAUAUGACUCAUUUAAAUGAAAGUGAACUGCACCAGAGAGCUAUCAUACUGUUUGGUUGGCAGCACAAAACGUGACAUAAAUGUUUUUGUUUAAAGGCUUUCCAUUGAAACAGUUUUAAAUGUAAUUUCCUGAGGGAGUGAAGUGUAAACCUUUCAAAUCCAGUUUGCCUCCACUGGGUCAGAGUGUGUGACCUUCUGGACUCUAUAUUUAGAUAAAACAGGAUUUGUGACCUGUUGUACUUUUACACUGUGUACAUUCUGGCCCAUUGACAGGUGUCCUUCAUUAACAGGAGCACCCUGAACAGAGCAAUAACCACCAACCUUUGUCCUCAUCAUGAGUACACAAAGAGCAAGUUAUGAAACCCAAAUCGUUUACAUCAUUGUCAUGCUGCAUUAUCUCCGACCUGCUGUCUGAAAAACAGGCUCUGAUCCUUCAUGAAGAAGACGUAUGCCAGUUUAAAAUAUUUACCAUUUUGCCUGACAAUUAUUUUACUGUACAAUCUUUGCUUAUAUAGUCCAACACAUUUAUAAAUUAACUCAAAUUGAAACAUUAAUAAAUAAAUAGAUGAACAAUCAAAUAAAUAAAUACAUAAACAAAUAAAUAAAUAAACCAUUCAAAUUCAUUGUUGUCAGUGGGUGCAUUUUGAUCUCAUUUUAGUGACCUCA